GAUGAAGAACGUAGCGAAAUGCGAUGAGUAAUGUGAAUUGCAGAAUUCAGUGAAUCAUCGAAUCUUUGAACGCACCUUGCGCUCCUUGGUAUUCCGAGGAGCAUGCCUGUUUGAGUGUCAUUAAUAUAUCAACCUUCUCUUUUUUGAGUUGUUUGGAUGUGGGGGUUUGCUGGCCUCUUAAAUGAUUCAGCUCCCCUGAAAUGCAUUAGCAGAACAACCUGUUCAUUGGCGUGAUAAUUAUCUAUGCUAUUGAAUGUGAGGGCAGUUCAGCUUUCUAACCGUCCUUGGACAAUUCAUCAUUAAUGUGACCUCAAAUCAGGUAGGACUACCCGCUGAACUUAAGCAUAUCAAUAAGCGGAGGA
rnacentral:misc_RNA from 1 species